rfam:Hordeum vulgare subsp. vulgare, WGS project CAJW01000000 data, contig: morex_contig_1588647
AAUGUACUCCAUCCGUUUUAAAAUUCUUUUCUUAGAUUUGUCUAUAUAUGAAUGUAUCUAGUCACAUUUUAGUAUGUAGAUACAUACAUUUCUAGACAAACUUAAGACAAUAAUUUUGGGACGGAGGAGUACUUU